GGCUGAUCCAAAGGUAAUGAGCUAUCUCAACUGAUUGUUCACAGUCAGUUAUAGACCAGACUUCUUGUUCUAUUCUUUCCCCUCUUCUCACUACUGUACUUGACUGGUCUUAA
ensembl:misc_RNA Y_RNA Y RNA